rnacentral:rRNA from 1 species
UACGUAGGGUGCAAGCGUUGUCCGGAAUUAUUGGGCGUAAAGAGCUCGUAGGCGGUCUGUCACGUCGGCUGUGAAAACCCGAGGCUCAACCUCGGGCCUGCAGUCGAUACGGGCAAACUAGAGUACUGCAGGGGAGACUGGAAUUCCUGGUGUAGCGGUGAAAUGCGCAGAGAUCCGGAAGAACACCGGUGGCGAAGGCGGUCUGCUGGGGUCGAACUGACGCUGAGGCGCGACAGCGUGGGGAGCAAACAGG